CAAACAUUCCGGCUGCAAAAAUACCGUACAUUGGCAUUGGCCCCUUAUGUUUAAAAAAUAUUUCUAAAACAACCCAGCAAAGAAGAAAUCUUUAAAAUAAGCCGCCAUUGUAGAAAAAUGAUUUAUCUUUCUGUUCAGAUUAUAUGUUCAGCCUUAAGAGUUCUAGUAAUAUUAAACAGAAAUUUAAAACCGAAAACGAAAUUACAUACAUAUGUACAUAUAUUUUAUACCGUACACAUUGCACUCCCUACUUAUUGAAUUUUUAUACAUUGGCCCGGUUUCUUUAAACCUUAUUUCCCAAAAAAGCAAAUUAAAGGGGGUCCAGAACCAAGUGAAUCUACAUCAACAGAUUCAUUUGAUUCAUUCAGAUUUCUCUUUUUCAUUUCAGGUUCUUCAAAAUCUGUUGGUGUUGAUGUGCAAAAUUACUAAUAUUGAUGGGUGACUGGCUGCCUGUGUUCCCGAUUUAAGGGCAAAAGGCGUACAGAGAAGCUGCCAAUAUUUAAUUGAUUUAUCUUUUUCAUUUCAGGUUCUUCAGAAACUGCUAAAGGCGUUCAUCAAAUACAUGACCCUGGUCCGGUCACAUAUACACAUAUACGGUCACAAACUGCCAGAUUUUAAUUGACUUUUUCUUUUUCAUUUCAGGUUUUUCUGGAUCGGCUGGUGUUUAUAUGCAAAUUACUAUAUUUGAUGAAAUAAAUGGCUGCCUGUGUUCCCGAUUCAAUGGCAAAAGGCGUUCAUCAAAUACAUGACACUGGUCUGACCACAUAUACAUGGUAAUUUGCAUUUAUUAGCAGAUAAACUGCCAUAUUUUAAUUGAUUUUUCGUUUUCUUUUCAGGUUUACUAAAUUUGAUGAAAUAAAUGGCUGCCUAUGUUCCCGAUUUCAAGGGCAAAAGGCGUUCAUCAAAUACAUGACACUGGUCCGGCCACAUAUACAAGGUAAUUUGCAAUUAUUUACAGAUAAACUGCGAUAUUUUAAUUGAUUUUUCUUUUUCUUUUCGGGUUUGGUGGUGUUGGUGUGCAAAAUUACCGAUUAUGAUGAGUAAGUGGCUGCCUGUGUUCCCAAUUUCAAAGGCAAAGGGCGUUCAUCAAUACACAUGACACUGGUCCGGCCACAUAUAUAAGGUAAUUCGCAUUUAUUUACAGAGAAGCUGCCAAUAUUAAUUGACUUUUCUUUUUCUUUUCAGGUUCUUCAAAAUCGGCUGAUGUUGAUGUGUAAAAUUACUAGUACUGAUGAGUAAAUGGUUGCCUGUGUUCCCGAUUUAAGGGCAAUUGGCGUUCAUCAAUAUACGUGACACUGGUCCGGCCACGUAUACAAGGUAAUUUGCAUUUAUUAGCAGAAAAGCUGCCAAUAUUUAAUUGACUUUUCUUCUUUAUUUCAGGUUCUUCAGUAGCGGCUGGUGUUGAUGUGCAAAAAUUACUAAUAUUGAUGGGUGAAUGGCUGCCUGUGUUCCCGAUUUCAAGGGCACAAGGCGUUCAUCAAUAUACAUCAAUAUACAUGACACUGGUCCGGCCACAUAUAUAAGGUAAUUCGCAAAUAUUAGCAGAUAAGCUGCCAUGUUUUAAUUGAUUUUUCUUUUUCAUUUCAGUUUUUCUGGAUCGGCUGGUGUUUAGAUGAAAAAUUACUAAUACUGAUGAAUGAAUGACUGCAUGUGUUCCCAAUUUAAGGGAGAAAGGCGUUCAUCAAUAUUAUUUAAUAUACAUGAUCCUGGUCUGGUCACGUAUUUGGCCAUGGUAAUUUGCAAUUAUUAGCAGAUAAACUGCCAUAUUUAAUUGACUUUUCUUUUUCAUUUCAGGUUCUUCAGUAGCGGCUGGUGUUGAUGUGCGCUAGAGUGAAGAAGCUUCAUUGGCUGCUGAACAGCAACAGCAAACUAUGCCUGAAUGCUAAGGUACUCCUGUAUAAACAAGUCAUCGCACCCAUAUGGCAAUAUACUCUGCCUGUUUGGGGUCCCCUUGCCUCUAGCCUUGAAUUUGGUCGCCUGCAAACUGAGCAGAACAAAACGUUACGGACUAUCACUAAUGCCCCAUGGUAUGUUCGUAACGAUACCAUCCACCGGGACCUGGGCCUUGAGACGGUGGAUGAGGUUUAUGCAAAAGUUUGUAAGAGAUAUGUUGACCGAAUGAGAACGCACAAUAACCAGCAAGCAGCAGCAGUCAUCAACGACCCAUAUGUCCCCAUGUCCCCAUGUCCCCAUAUAUGUAGGCUAACCAGACCUCGAUAUUCCGAUUACUUGAACACACACCUACGUAAGGAAAUUGAGAGGCAGGAAUGGAAUCGUAUGGAAGUUGUACCCUAUCAGCGGCCAUACACGGAAAUGGAAUAGCUUUGGAGAGACAGGGCAGACGCGUCAAAUAGGAGAGCAAUGCGAGCCAUGGGAUAUGAAGGGUAGAGGAGCCACAACCCCCCCCUCAGAAAGAGGUAUCAGCACCACACAAAGUUAUUACAGUACGGAUAUUUUAGCUAGGGCAAGGGAACGCGCAAGAUCGGGGGUGAAUGCAGUCACCCAAGAGCAGCAGCCAACAACAGCAAUAUUAAAUACAUUUAUUGCUGCUGACGAAAUUGCGCAGUUCGAUAUUGUAGACCUGACUGUGGGACGUUACGGAUGAGUCACACAAAUGAACAAGAAUAGCUUCCGUUGGUCAAUCUGAACCUCAGGACGACACUGAGGCUGCCCAGGAUCAGGACGCCAGCACCAGAAACGCCGGACUCUGGUACACGGAUGACCAUGGAGAUACCGGAAUAUGAUUCUGCAUUGAAUAUUGUAUGCAAGUGCCAUUUUUGAAACCGAGGCCCGAAACGCGUCUGAAAACGAUGCUGCUGAAAGAUAAACUGAUCGCAGAUAAGCCGCAGCAACUCGCCUGCAGCUAUUUUUCUUUUCUCCCUUCUACACACACACAACCGAAACCAGUAGAAGAGAGACGACACCAGCAACAACGCUCUAGAUAUUCUGAUUGAGAUAAAUCGAGCGCACACCCACUCACAUGCCUAUACACAUAAAUUUCUCGCUGCCUCGGACCAGAAGGCAGCGAAAAUGUUAAAACAGAAGGAAGACAGAAACUUGAAAACAUAGCUAUAACAAAAAAUAUAAUUAACACAUAUAUGUAAAUAUUUUUCACCUCUUCCGCUGCACUGACAGAAAUCACUUUUUCUUCUAUUACCUAUAUAUAUUUAUCUCUAGAGUUUUAAGUCACUUAUCUCUAAUGAAUUCCCUAUUGCCCUCCCCCGAUCAGUGGACUGCUGUUGGGGUCGAGGUAUUGUUUAAAUUUUAAAUGAAUGCGCAGACAGAGAUGUCGGAAGAGGAGAUUCCCGCUGCCGUAAAGUGACGUAUGCGCUGCCUAUUACUGAAAAACUGCAGUCAACAGGCAGACUCAUACAAUAUUUUUAAGUAAAACAGCAGCCCCAUGAAAUUGUAAUAUUAUGCUAAGUAUAGUAUAAAUACAAUAAAAUCCACCUUAUCGUAACGUAUAAUGGCUCUCCUGAACCUGCUGGUUCAGGUCCAGGAUGGAGUUGGUUUACGUUACGAUUAGACACUCUCGUAUUGCCACCGCAGCAUACGACAAACAAAAAA
rnacentral:lncRNA from 1 species